rnacentral:lncRNA from 1 species
GGUUGAAAAUAAGAGAGAGAAAAAGAAUGAGAAGGAAAAUGGGGGCCAAACAGGGCUUUAUCUCCGUGAAACUGUCACGUCAUGAACCUCCAGAAAAAGACAAACUGAGGCUACUACAUACAUCUAUAGGAUCCCUACCAAAAUAUUAUAACAUUAUUGUAUUCAGAGUUCACAGAAAAAGUUUCUGCAUGUUAUCUCCAAAAAGAUUCCAGAAUGUGACCUAUAAAUACAUUCAGACCUUAUUAACCUCAAAUACAAAUAAAUAAAUAAAGGCUAUGAGAAAAUAAUGUGAACUUGGUUUUGCCCAAGUCAUAAUGGAUAUUCUCAAGUGUUCUAAAAGAUAAAUAGAUGAGAGGGAACUUAAUAAAGUUACCUAUUAAUGCAUAAGCUGCAACCGAAAACCCCUGUCCAUACAGAACUCAAGUUAACCGGUUACAUAUGAAAAUAGGAUUUUAAGCUUUGAAAUGUUCAUAUAUUUAGUAACAAUAUAUGAUAUGGCUGCAUCCAAUUGCCAGUAUCUUAGUGAACCAGAGUUUUGUACAUCAAACAAUCGAUUAAAACUCACUCUUUAUCAAGUUAAUUUCAAUGAAUAACAGAUAAAUUUAAUUAUCACUAGAUAUAUUACUGUUACAUCCCCAAUUUAAUAUUUUGGCUUAUCUUGGAUUGAUUAUUUUAAUAGCAUCGCAAAGGGAUACGUAAAUCUUUUGCAGUUCCACAUUUAUACCUACUACAUAUAAAAUUAGGCGGCAGGCCACGUGUCUUUCAACUUCACUGUGGAAGAAGUAACAAAGUAGAAAUCUUUCAUUGAGAGUAGAACUUAUGUAUUACAUGCUCUUCAUUCCCUCAUUGUUAAUAAUCAAACCUAGAUCCAUGAAACAAUCACUCUUCGGAACAAAGGAAUCCUCUAUGGUGACUGUGUUAUUAUCAUUAUUCCUACUACCAAUAGUCCCACAGAGAAAAUGACACAUUUAAUCCAAAUCAUGAAACACCAACAUUAGUAAAGAGUCUUACCACUCCAUAUCCAAGGAGUUUUAACGGAGUUGGUUUGAUAUCCUCCAGAAUUGCUUCAGCUUCCUGUUAAAACCAAGGUC